rnacentral:rRNA from 1 species
GACGAACGCUGGCGGCGUGCCUAAUACAUGCAAGUCGAACGCUGAAGGAGGAGCUUGCUUCUCCGGAUGAGUUGCGAACGGGUGAGUAACGCGUAGGUAACCUGCCUGGUAGCGGGGGAUAACUAUUGGAAACGAUAGCUAAUACCGCAUAAGAGUAGAUGUCGCAUGACAUUUGCUUAAAAGGUGCAACUGCACCACUACCAGAUGGACCUGCGUUGUAUUAGCUAGUUGGUGAGGUAACGGCUCACCAAGGCAACGAUACAUAGCCGACCUGAGAGGGGGAUCGGCCACACUGGGACUGAGACACGGCCCAGACUCCUACGGGAGGCAGCAGUAGGGAAUCUUCGGCAAUGGACGGAAGUCUGACCGAGCAACGCCGCGUGAGUGAAGAAGGGUUUCGGAUCGUAAAGCUCUGUUGUAAGAGAAGAACGAGUGUGAGAGUGGAAAGUUCACACUGUGACGGUAGCUUACCAGAAAGGGACGGCUAACUACGUG